rnacentral:rRNA from 1 species
UACAGAGGGGGCGAGCGUUGUUCGGAAUCACUGGGUGUAAAGGGUGCGUAGGCUGUCGGUCAAGUCUGAUGUGAAAUCCCCCGGCUCAACUGGGGAACUGCAUUGGAAACUAGCUGACUGGAGUACCGGAGAGGGAAGCGGAAUUCCUGGUGUAGCGGUGAAAUGCGUAGAUACCAGGAGGAACACCAAUGGCGAAGGCAGCUCACUGGGACGGUAUUGACGCUGAGACGCGAAAGCGUGGGGAGCAAACAGG